UACGUAGGGGGCUAGCGUUGUCCGGAUUUAUUGGGCGUAAAGAGCGUGUAGGCGGCCAGGUAGGUCUGCUGUGAAACUCGAGGCUCAACCUCGAGACGUCGGCGGAAACCAUCUGGCUAGGAGUCCGGAAGAGGAGAGUGGAAUUCCUGGUGUAGCGGUGAAAUGCGCAGAUAUCAGGAAGAACACCCGUGGCGAAGGCGGCUCUCUGGGACGGUACUGACGCUGAGACGCGAAAGCGUGGGGAGCGAACAGG
rnacentral:rRNA from 1 species